AUACGUAGGGGGCGAGCGUUGUCCGGAAUGAUUGGGCGUAAAGGGCGCGUAGGCGGCCUGUUAAGUCUGGAGUGAAAGUCCUGUUUUCAAGAUGGGAAUUGCUUUGGAUACUGAUGGGCUUGAGUGCAGGAGAGGUUAUCGGAAUUCCCGGUGUAGCGGUGAAAUGCGUAGAGAUCGGGAGGAACACCAGUGGCGAAGGCGGGUAACUGGACUGCAACUGACGCUGAGGCGCGAAAGUGUGGGGAGCAAACAGGAUUAGAUACCCUGGUAGUCCACACUGUAAACGAUGAAUGCUAGGUGUAAGAGGUAUCGACCCCUGUUGUGCCGGAGUCAACACAAUAAGCAUUCCGCCUGGGGAGUACGGCCGCAAGGUUGAAACUCAAAGGAAUUGACGGGG
rnacentral:rRNA from 1 species